UCGCACAUCAAUCAAUAUCAAAUUUUCCGUCCACAACAAAAUCAAAAUUUCCCUACAAUAAUUCAAGAUUACUACAGUAACUUAAAAUAAACCUUUCAAGAAUUAAUUGAUAGCCGCCAUGGUCUCAAGAGUACCAUGGGCCUGAUCCGAUGUACUCUAUUGCUGAUAUCCGCUGACCUCGCUUGGAUUACCGGUGCUGUCGGUUGCACCAGGAAGGUGUACAUCGCUUGCAGGGAUCCUGCGCCCUGUGGGAAAUAAAAAGUGGUACGCCAUGGCUAAAAUCAACUGGGCAUUCCUUUAUUCGAUGCUGAUAGUUUUGCUCUCCAUAUUCGCUACUGGAUCUGGUUGUUGUAAAAAGAAUAUCCCGUGUACGGGCAGAGCUCCUUGCAGGAAAGGACCGUAUAGAAACUGAGCAGUUAGCAAAUAUCUCUACUUGAAUAACCAACAGCUUCUGGUGAAAAUCUACAGCAAAAUAUAAACCAUUAUGAAUUCAGAAAGUUCAGAAACCUUUAUGAUAUGAAAAAAUGUUUAAAAAUGAAAAGUAUGGAACGAAAAUCUCCCGUGCACAUAAUGUUACAAAACGAUUUAAAAUAUAUUCCGAACGACAUGGCAAUUAAAAG